rnacentral:rRNA from 1 species
AUUGAACGCUGGCGGCAUGCCUUACACAUGCAAGUCGAACGGCAGCACGGGUGCUUGCACCUGGUGGCGAGUGGCGAACGGGUGAGUAAUACAUCGGAACGUACCUUAUCGUGGGGGAUAACGCAGCGAAAGUUGCGCUAAUACCGCAUACGCCCUGAGGGGGAAAGCGGGGGACCGUAAGGCCUCGCGCGAUUAGAGCGGCCGAUGUCUGAUUAGCUUGUUGGUGAGGUAAAAGCUCACCAAGGCGAUGAUCAGUAGCUGGUCUGAGAGGACGAUAAGCCACCCUGGGAAUGAGACACGGCCCAGACUCCUACGGGAGGCAGCAGUGGGGAAUGUUGGACAAUGGGGGCAACCCUGAUCCAGCAAUGCCGCGUGAGUGAAGAAGGCCUUCGGGUUGUAAAGCUCUUUUGUCAGGGAAGAAACAGCAGCUCUAACACAGUCUGCGAAUGACGGUACCUGAAGAAUAAGCACCGGCUAACUACGUGCCAGCAGCCGCCGUAA